rnacentral:rRNA from 1 species
GACGAACGCUGGCGGCGUGCUUAACACAUGCAAGUCGAACGAGUGGCGAACGGGUGAGUAACACGUGGGUGACCUGCCCUGCACUUCGGGAUAAGCCUGGGAAACUGGGUCUAAUACCGGAUAGUGUGGGAUGGGCCCGCGGCCUAUCAGCUUGUUGGUGGGGUAAUGGCUACCAAGGCGCGACGGGUAGCUGGUCUGAGAGGAUGACCAGCCACACUGUAACUGAGACACGGUCCAGACUCCUACGGGAGGCAGCAGUGGGGAAUAUUGCACAAUGGGCGCAAGCCUGAUGCAGCCAUGCCGCGUGUGUGAAGAAGGCCUUCGGGUUGUAAAGCACUUUCAGCGGGGAGGCGUUACCCGCAGAAGAAGCACCGGCUAACUCCGUGCCAGCCGCCGCGGUAAUUC